GACGAACGCUGGCGGCGUGCUUAACACAUGCAAGUCGAACGGAAAGGCCCUGCUUUUGCGGGGUGCUCGAGUCGCGAACGGGUGAGUAACACGUGAGUAACCUGCCCUUGACUUUGGGAUAACUUCAGGAAACUGGGGCUAAUACCGGAUAGGAGCUCCUGCUGCAUGGUGGGGGUUGGAAAGUUUCGGCGGCUGGGGAUGGACUCGCGGCUUAUCAGCUUGUUGGUGGGGUAGUGGCUUACCAAGGCUUUGACGGGUCGCCGGCCUGAGAGGGGGACCGGCCACAUUGGGACUGAGAUACAGCCCAGACUCCUACGGGAGGCGGCAGUGGGGAAUAUUGCACACUGGGCGGAAGCCUGAUGCAGCAACGCCGCGUGCGGGAUGACGGCCUUCGGGUUGUAAACCGCUUUCGCCUGUGACGAAGCGUGAGUGACGGUAAUGGGUAAAGAAGCACCGGCUAACUACGUG
rnacentral:rRNA from 1 species